AAGAAUAUGAAUAUUUAAUCUUGUUGUGUUUGUAAUAUAUUCACUUGUUUAAUUUUUAUGAAGUUAUUAUUUUUAUCUAUACUUUGGGUUUUAAAUGCAAUUAGUUGAGUAGUAUUUGGCCAAUUAGGAAACCAAGGUCGGUUUCCAUCCCGGUUUUCUUUUUCUUCUCUUUGUUGGUUUGGAAAGUAAAACACCAACCUUCCCUUUCCUUUUUCUUUCGGUUGGAUAAACCCAAAAAUAAACCCCAACCCCAACCCAUUUCUCACUUCACGAUUCUCCCUUACCCUCCUCGUGAAACUCAUCCCCUUCUCCCCUGUUUGUCUCUCCUCGUUGUGGCCUCGUCGCACCUCCCCUCAGUUCGUCGGCGUGUUCCCUAUCCCUUGUUGUCAUCGCUACUCUACUCCUUUCUUUCCUCGAUCUCGUCGGCGUUGCUACUCGAACUUUUCCUCCCCUGUUCGUUUGGAUUUCGUUAUUAGUGUGUGCAACACUUGCUGUUUCUCUCUCUUUAAACCCCGGUGUGAUGCCGUUGCCGGCGUUGCUUCUGCUGUCACCACUGGAUGCUGUCGUUGCUGCUGUUGUUCUUUCUCUCCUCUUGCGACUAAUGUUACCUUGUUCCGCGAUCUCCUUGCCGAUGCUUCUCGUCUAAUUUUCGGCGUGUUGCCGCCAUAGAUGGUGUUUGACAUAGGAUUAUGGCGUUUAUUGGAGUUGAUUGGGAUUUGCACGAAAGCUUGGAUGAUUGCGGAGCAUUCAGAUGGAUUGAUAGCUUUAUUCGGCGAUGAUUUUGAAGAUAUAUUGCGAUAUGGUGUUGGUAACCAUUAAUUACCAUGCCUAAGGAGCUACAAAAUGGAAUUUUGAUAGCAAGAGAACAAAAAAAAAACAGCAUAAACCGCCACCCUUUGGCGGUCCUUUCAAGCUUACCGCAAGGCCAUGGCGGUCUCCAAUUUCAAUAUUACGUAAUCUUAGUUUUAGAGUGUUUUAGGAGUCCAAAUCCUAGUCAAACUCCUUGUAUUUGGAUAGAUAUAAAUAGGUUUUGGAUAGAAUUUGAAAGGGAGAUAUUUUUGGAGAGAGAAAUCACGUUUUUUCCUCCUCUUGGACGCUUCUCAUGAAGGCUGCACGUUAUUCAUUGUAUUCUUCAUACUUUCAUCAAGUUCUUGUUUUCGACAUUCAAGUUUGCAAUUUCAUCAAUUAAUUCAAGUAUUAUUUUCUCUUCUCUA